rnacentral:tRNA from 13 species
UGGCCCAUGGGGAUGAACCCACGACCUUCGCGUUAUUAGCACGACGCUCUAACCAACUGAGCUAAUGGGCC